GUUACUGAGCUGCAGGCCAGGGCCACCUGCUCUGCCAGCAACAAGCCAUUCUCAGAAGCCUAGGGACUCACUGCAUCUGCCUCCAUCAGUUGUUGGGUGAUGCCUCUCUGAUGGCAAUUGGGCCAGGCACCAAUCUGGUCACAGGAGAAGCUCUCAGUUUGAUUAUUUCCUGCUAUCUACUCCUUUUUCAACACAAAUUCAGAUAUAAAAUGUUUAGAUUUUCAAGAUGCCAACAGCAGAGCGUUCAGCCAAACACUGAACCUUCCUGUGUAGGGCGAUUACACCUGUUGCGGGAUAUUUGUACCUGGUGUGAAGACAUAUUGCUGUCACAGCUGUAAUAAAAAGCGAGCCAGGAGGUAUAGGCGGAACUUUUGGGCAGAGAGAGACCUCUGGGCAGAAGAAAGGUGGAGUUGCCAGCCAUAUGGAGAAGAAUCAGGAUAGACUGUGCAUAGAUGAGGUCUUUCUGUUUCAAAGACUGGAGUGUAUUUCUGCAGACUGGAACAUUCUGGUUAAUGGUUCAAGAAGAUAAAAUAAAGGAAGAAAGGAAGAAAGAAAGGAAGGAAGGAAGGAAGGAAGGAAGGAAGGAAGGAAGGAAGGAAGGAAAGAAGGAAGAAGCAAACAAGCUUGAAUCAUCUGAAUGAACGUUCUAAAUUAUGUAAGAAUUCAUUAAGAUGAA